rnacentral:rRNA from 1 species
CCCUUAGAUGUUCGGGGCCGCACGCGCGCUACACUGAAGGACUCAGCGUGUCUCUCCCCCUAUCCCGAAAGGGAUGGGCAACCCGUUGAACCUCCUUCGUGCUAGGGACUGGGGUUUGCAAUUAUCCCCCAUGAACGAGGAAUUCCCAGUAAGCGCGAGUCAUCAGCUCGCGUUGAUUACGUCCCUGCCCUUUGUACACACCGCCCGUCGCUACUACCGAUUGGAUGGUUUAGUGAGACCCUCGGAUCGGUCCCGACUCGGGGUGGGCUUCUGCCCCGGUCGUGGUUUCGCCGAGAAGACGGUCAAACUUGACUAUCUAGAGGAAGUAAAAGUCGUAACA